AGUGCAUGUGAUGACUUCAUUUCAUGCUGCGAAUUUCUGAAAUUGCAAUGUGGAAAACUCCUUGGAGAGCUGAGCACUCU